GGGGAUGUAGCUCAGUGGUAUAGUGCCUGCCUGGCAAGCACAUGGUCCUGAGUUCAAUUCCCAGAAUUAACA
rnacentral:tRNA from 1 species